GAUGAACGCUGGCGGCGUGCCUAACACAUGCAAGUCGAGCGAACAGACGAGGUGCUUGCUCCUCUGACGGUAGCGGCGGACAGGUGAGUAACAAGAGGAGAACAUACCUAUACGACUGGGAUAAUUACGGGAUACCGGAGCUAAUACCACAGAAUAUAUUGAACCGGAUGGUUCAUUAGUGAAAGACGGUUUUGGUGUCACUGAUAGAUGGACCCGCGGCGCAUUAGCUGGUUGGUGGGGUAACGGCUUACCAAGGCAGCGAUGCGUAGCCGACCUGAGAGGGGGGUGGGCCACACUGGUAGUGAGACACGGUCCAGAAUCCUACGGGAGGCAGCAGUAGGGAAUCUUCCGGCAUGGGGGAAAGACUGACGGAGCAGCGCCGCGUGAGUGAUGAAGGUGUUCGGAUCGUAGAACUCUGUUAUCAGGAAAGAACAAAUGUGUAAGUAACUAUGCGCGUCUUGACGGUACCUGGUCAAGAAGCCACGGCUAACUACGUG
rnacentral:rRNA from 1 species